ensembl:lncRNA
GGCAGUAGGGAUGACCAGGGAUGUUCUCUGUUUAGUGAGUCCACCAGAUCAGAGGUAGUAGGGAUGACCAGGGAUGUUCUCUGUUUAGUGAGUCCUCCAGAUCAGAGGCAGUAGGGAUGACCAGGGAUGUUCUCUGUUUAGUGAGUCCACCAGAUCAGAGGCAGUAGGGAUGACCAGGGAUGUUCUCUGUUUAGUGAGUCCUCCAGAUCAGAGGCAGUAGGGAUGACCAGGGAUGUUCUCUGUUUAGUGAGUCCUCCAGAUCAGGCAGUAGGGAUGACCAGGGAUGUUCUCU